rnacentral:rRNA from 1 species
GAUGAACGCUGGCGGCGUGCCUAAUACAUGCAAGUCGAGCGAACGGACGAGAAGCUUGCUUCUCUGAUGUUAGCGGCGGACGGGUGAGUAACACGUGGAUAACCUACCUAUAAGACUGGGAUAACUUCGGGAAACCGUAGCUAAUACCGGAUAAUAUUUUGAACCGCAUGGUUCAAAAGUGAAAGACGGUCUUGCUGUCACUUAUAGAUGGAUCCGCGCUGCAUUAGCUAGUUGGUAAGGUAACGGCUUACCAAGGCAACGAUGCAUAGCCGACCUGAGAGGGUGAUAGGCCACACUGGAACUGAGACACGGUCAAGACUCCUACGGGAGGCAGCAGUAGGGAAUCUUCCGCAAUGGGCGAAAGCCUGACGGAGCAACGCCGCGUGAGUGAUGAAGGUCUUCGGAUCGUAAAACUCUGUUAUUAGGGAAGAACAUAUGUGUAAGUAACUGUGCACAUCUUGACGGUAACUAAUCAGAAAGCAACGGCUAACUACGUG